ACCAUUCAUUUUUGAAACCCUAUUAUUAUGUGUAUCGUAUUAGAGUACAUAUUUGCAUCCAUAUUAAAGUACUGUGUAUCUUUUAGGUGUGAUCUUUGCCAGUGUGAGCGCUGGACUGGGAGAGCUCUCCUUCCUCUCUCUCACUGUCUUCUUUAGCAGAGAUGUGUUGGGGGGCUGGGGCUCGGGCACCGGUGGAGCAGGUGUGGCCGGGGCUCUGCUGUACUCUGGUCUCACGCAGGCUGGCCUCUCGCCCAGGAACACGCUGCUCAUCAUGCUGGUCGUCCCUGUAGCCAUGGUGAUCAGCUAUUUUUUUCCUGCUAGUCUUCCCCUCAUCCUUCCCACAGUGGAAGUGCAGGGAGGUGGAGUCUGUGAGGGGCAGAGACUCACAGAGCAGGCAGCCCCUAUUGGAUGACACUGAUGAAGAGGAGGAGCGGGAGAAAGGUGCUGAAGAAGACAAGGUCACUGGACCACUGACAUGUAUUGAGAAACUACACAUCAUUAAG